rnacentral:rRNA from 1 species
UACGGAGGGUGCAAGCGUUAUCCGGAUUCACUGGGUUUAAAGGGCGCGUAGGCGGCCUGAUAAGUAGGGGGUGAAAUCCUGCGGCUUAACCGCAGGGCUGCCUUCUAAACUGUCAGGCUCGAGCACAGUAGAGGCAGGUGGAAUUCCCGGUGUAGCGGUGGAAUGCGUAGAGAUCGGGAAGAACAUCAGUGGCGAAGGCGGCCUGCUGGGCUGUUGCUGACGCUGAGGCGCGACAGCGUGGGGAGCAAACAGG